UACAGAGGUCUCAAGCGUUGUUCGGAUUCAUUGGGCGUAAAGGGUUCGUAGGCGGCGCGGUAAGUCGGGUGUGAAAUCUUGGAGCUUAACUCCGAAACUGCAUUCGAUACUGCCGUGCUUGAGGACUGGAGAGGAGACUGGAAUUUACGGUGUAGCGGUGAAAUGCGUAGAUAUCGUAAGGAAGACCAGUGGCGAAGGCGGGUCUCUGGACAGUUCCUGACGCUGAGGCGCGAAGGCCAGGGGAGCAAACGGG
rnacentral:rRNA from 1 species